UGAACGCUGGCGGCAGGCCUCAUACAUGCAAGUCGAACGAGAAAGUAUCUUCGGAUACGAGUACAGUGGCGGACGGGUGAGUAAUACAUAGGAAUCUACCCAAUGGAGGGGGAUAGCUCGAGGAAACUCGAAUUAAUACCGCAUAAUCUCCACGGAGUAAAGAGGGCUUCGGCUCUCGCCAUCGGAUGAGCCUAUGCAGGAUUAGCUUGUUGGUGAGGUAAAGGCUUACCAAGGCGACGAUCCUUAGCUGGUUUGAGAGGAUGACCAGCCACAUCGGGACUGAGACACGGCCCGGACUUCUACGGAAGGCAGCUGUAGGGAAUAUUGGACAAUGAGCGAAAGCUUGAUCCAGCCAUGCCGCGUGUGCGAUGACGGCCCUCGGGUUGUAAAGCACUUUAGGUAACGAGGAAAAGUUAGGUGUUAAUACCAUCUAACCUUGACGUUAAUUACAGAAUAAGCACCGGCUAAAUCCGUGCCAGCAGCCGCGGUAAUACGGAUGGUGCAAGCGUUAAUCGGAAUUACUGCGCGUAAAGCGCGCG
rnacentral:rRNA from 1 species